CGGCAGACGGGUGAGUAACGCGUGGGAACAUACCUUUUGGUUCGGAACAACACAGGGAAACUUGUGCUAAUACCGGAUAAGCCCUUACGGGGAAAGAUUUAUCGCCGAAAGAUUGGCCCGCGUCUGAUUAGCUAGUUGAUGAGGUAACGGCUCACCAAGGCGACGAUCAGUAGCUGGUCUGAGAGGAUGAUCAGCCACAUUGGGACUGAGACACGGCCCAA
rnacentral:rRNA from 1 species